UACGAAGGGGGCUAGCGUUGCUCGGAAUCACUGGGCGUAAAGGGUGCGUAGGCGGGUCUUUAAGUCAGGGGUGAAAUCCUGGAGCUCAACUCCAGAACUGCCUUUGAUACUGAGGAUCUUGAGUCCGGGGGAGGUGAGUGGAACUGCGAGUGUAGAGGUGAAAUUCGUAGAUAUUCGCAAGAACACCAGUGGCGAAGGCGGCUCACUGGCCCGGUACUGACGCUGAGGCACGAAAGCGUGGGGAGCAAACAGG
rnacentral:rRNA from 1 species